rnacentral:rRNA from 1 species
GACGAAGGGGGCUAGCGUUGUUCGGAAUUACUGGGCGUAAAGCGUGUGUAGGUGGUUGCCAUAGUCAGGUGUGAAAGCCUUGAGCUCAACUCAAGAAAUGCACUUGAUACUGGGCAGCUAGAGGACCGGAGAGGAUAGUGGAAUUCCCAGUGUAGUGGUGAAAUACGUAGAGAUUGGGAAGAACACCAGUGGCGAAGGCGGCUCACUGGACUGGUAUUGACGCUGAGGUGCGAAAGCGUGGGGAGCAAACAGGG